rfam:Saccharothrix sp. ST-888 contig-232, whole genome shotgun sequence.
CUUCAGCGAGCCCAGCCACAGCGGCGCGGACUCGGCCCGCUCCUGGCCGUAGGUGGCGAGCAGCGCCUGGGCCUC